GAGUUUGAUCCUGGCUCAUGACGAACGCUUGCGGCGUGCCUAAGAAAUGCAAGUCGAACGGGAAGAUUUAUCUUCUAGUGGCGAACGGUCGCGUAACACGUAGGCAACCUGCCCGAAAGUGGGGGACAACAGCCUGAAAGGGCUGCUAAUACCGCAUGUGGUUGUUUGAAGGCAUCUUUAAACAACUAAAGCUUUAUGCGCUUUCGGAUGGGCUUGCGGCCUAUCAGGUAGUUGGUGGGGUAAUGGCCUACCAAGCCGACGACGGGUAGCUGGUCUGAGAGGACGAUCAGCCGGAUUGGGACUGAGAUACGGCCCAGACUCCUACGGGGGGCAGCAAUUAGGAAUCUUGCGCAAUGGGGGCAUCCCUGACGCAGCGACGCCGCGUGCGGGAUGAAGGCAUUCGUGUCGUAAACCGCUUUUGACGAGGAAGAAGAAUGUGACGGUACUCGUCGAAUAAGCCCCGGCUAACUACGUGCCAGCAGCCGCGGUAAUACGUAGGGGGCGAGCGUUGUCCGAAGUUACUGGGCGUAAAGCGCGCGUAGGCGGUCAUUUAAGUUCGGGGUGAAAGGUUCAGCGCUCAACGCGAACAGUGCCUUGAAUACUGGGUGACUUGAGUUCGGGAGAGGGCAGUGGAAUUCCUGGUGUAGCGGUGAAAUGCGUAGAUAUCAGGAGGAACACCGAUGGCGAAGGCAGCUGCCUGGCCUAGAACUGACGCUGAGGUGCGAAAGCGUGGGGAGCGAACGGGAUUAGAUACCCCGGUAGUCCACGCCGUAAACGAUGAGUGCUAGGUGUUCGGGGUAUCGACCCCCCGGGUGCCGCCGCUAACGCAGUAAGCACUCCGCCUGGGGAGUACGGCCGCAAGGUUGAAACUCAAAGGAAUUGACGGGGGCCCGCACAAGCGGUGGAGCAUGUGGAUUAAUUCGUCACUAACCGAAGAACCUUACCCAGGCUUGACAUCGCGUGUAACUCAGUGAAGGCUGAGCCCUUCCGCAAGGAAGCACAAAGACAGGUGUUGCAUGGCUGUCGUCAGCUCGUGUGGUGAGAUGUUGGGUUAAGUCCCGCAACGAGCGCAACCC
rnacentral:rRNA from 1 species